rnacentral:rRNA from 1 species
UACGGAGGGUGCAAGCGUUAAUCGGAAUUACUGGGCGUAAAGGGCGCGUAGGCGGCUAGUUUAGUCAGAGGUGAAAGCCCAGGGCUCAACCCUGGAAUUGCCUUUGAUACUGGCUAUCUUGAGUUCGGGAGAGGUGAGUGGAACUCCGAGUGUAGAGGUGAAAUUCGUAGAUAUUCGGAAGAACACCAGUGGCGAAGGCGACUCACUGGCCCGAUACUGACGCUGAGGCGCGAAAGCGUGGGGAGCAAACAGG